rnacentral:lncRNA from 1 species
UUAUAUCUGAUAAAUUGUUGGUUUAAAAAUCUGGAAAACACCAGAAAUGUUUAUUAUGUCAGAAUAAUUGAAAUUAAUAUAUUUUUGGCAAUUAAUAUGCAAAAGGCAGCAUUUCCCAUAACUAGACAUCAACCAUCACUCCCAUCUAAACACGUUUAUCUUCCACGUCAAUAGGUGGAGAUAUUAUACAUGUGCUCUCUGCCAUCUAUCUAUCUAUCUAUCUAUCUAUCUAUCUAUCUAUCUAUCUAUCUAUCUAUCUAUCUAUCUAUCUAUGACUCAGGUUUAGGAUCUAGAUUAGAUUAUAAUAUGUGUGGAUGGGAGUAUUCUACCUUAUCUGGGGCAUGAAGAGUUAAAUGUGAGUGUUAGAGGAGCUGAACACGCAUCUGAGUGCUCCAUAGAUUGGAGAGAAUAUAAAACAUACCCCAACAUUUAUUUUUUUCACUCUUCUCAAAUUUCAGUCUCAUGACCUGUGGAAGUUUACUUGACAUCCAGUACAGUAGGUGGCGAUAAUGCUCCGGAGUUAUUCGCCAUUAAACAAGAAGAAGAAGAAGAAGAAGGAGGAGGAGAGACAUCAGGAGAUUAGUGCUAUUUGUAUUUAGCAAAAACAGUCUGCUGGAUACUUUACGUCUCUGAUCAAGCUGAAUCUGUAAGUUAUCAUGUCUAAACACAGGACGAAAAAGCUCAUCAUUGAAGAUGAUGAGCCAAAGCAAGAUGAGCUGAAUCCGUUUUCUUUCAAGGAGUUCGUCCGAUACAAGAACCAGCAGUCUUGUACUACAGAAGCCACAGAGGUGUGUGGUGGAGCAUUCAACGUCGAACAGGAUUAUAACACCUCCAUAGAUUUUGCCACGAAGGGGCCGUUCUUCUCAGACCCGUCUGCGCUCUGUCAGCCUUCUGAAAACGAACCUGAGGAAACAUGGAUUGAAAGCUGCCGCCCAUCAGCCCUUGAUGGUUCUCAUGACUUCGAACUAUCUGGUACUUUAGACCUCAGUGCUUUCUCUGAGCAGUCAUCUCUCUGCAGUGAUGAGAGGGGAGCACAUGUAACUGAAUGGGAACUGUGUAAUUCUGACUUCCUGCCAAAGAGCCACUUAGCUAGAAGAAGCACAGGAAGCUAUGAGGGUGAUGAAGAGACUUCAGUGAUUGACAUUUCCUUCCAUCCGAAGAGGAGUAAUGCUGAAAAUGGCACAAAGAAUCCCCAACAGGUAUGUUGUGUGAAUUGUGAAUGGUGUGAGGUUUUGUAUAUACAUGAGCCAAUUGUUAUAUUAUAA